rnacentral:rRNA from 1 species
CCUACGGGUGGCAGCAGUGGGGAAUAUUGGACAAUGGGCGAAAGCCUGAUCCAGCCAUGCCGCGUGUGUGAAGAAGGCCUUCGGGUUGUAAAGCACUUUCAGUGGGGAAGAAAGCCUUGGGGCUAAUACCCUCGAGGAAGGACAUCACCCACAGAAGAAGCACCGGCUAACUCCGUGCCAGCAGCCGCGGUAAUACGGAGGGUGCGAGCGUUAAUCGGAAUUACUGGGCGUAAAGCGCGCGUAGGCGGUCUGAUAAGCCGGUUGUGAAAGCCCCGGGCUCAACCUGGGAACGGCAUCCGGAACUGUCAGGCUAGAGUGCAGGAGAGGAAGGUAGAAUUCCCGGUGUAGCGGUGAAAUGCGUAGAGAUCGGGAGGAAUACCAGUGGCGAAGGCGGCCUUCUGGACUGACACUGACGCUGAGGUGCGAAAGCGUGGGUAGCAAACAGGAUUAGAUACCCGAUAGUC